rnacentral:rRNA from 1 species
CACUCCUGCGGGAGGCAGCAGUGGGGAAUAUUGGACAAUGGGCGCAAGCCUGAUCCAGCCAUGCCGCGUGAGUGAUGAAGGCCCUAGGGUUGUAAAGCUCUUUCACCGGUGAAGAUAAUGACGGUAACCGGAGAAGAAGCCCCGGCUAACUUCGUGCCAGCAGCCGCGGUAAUACGAAGGGGGCUAGCGUUGUUCGGAUUUACUGGGCGUAAAGCGCACGUAGGCGGACUAUUAAGUCAGGGGUGAAAUCCCGGGGCUCAACCCCGGAACUGCCUUUGAUACUGGUAGUCUUGAGUUCGAGGGAGGUGAGUGGAAUUCCGAGUGUAGAGGUGAAAUUCGUAGAUAUUCGGAGGAACACCAGUGGCGAAGGCGGCUCACUGGCUCGAUACUGACGCUGAGGUGCGAAAGCGUGGGGAGCAAACAGGAUUAGAUACCCCUGUAGUCCCAU